rfam:Rattus norvegicus chromosome 10, whole genome shotgun sequence.
GGGGAUUUAGCUCAGUGGUAGAGCGCUUGCCUAGGAAGCGCAAGGCCCUGGGUUUGAUCCCCAGCUCCA